ACAUACGACCAUAGAAGACCGAGGAGAUUGGGCACCCCGCUCGCUCUGCCAUACACCAAUAAGCCUCAGAUCGGCAGAUUAGUAGAUGGCUAGGUGACCACCAGCGAAUACCUGCUGUUGCAUGUC
rnacentral:rRNA from 1 species